AUCAAAUUGGGCGCCCCACCCAGGUUGCUGCUAACUUGGUUGCUGAAGGAUUGGAGUUAUUUGAAUUCUUCUGUCCUCUUUCCUGUUUGUAACACUUUCCUUUUUGUGGGAGUACCACAGGGGAAUUCCUCAUCUGUUAUGUUUUACUUUAUCACGUCUUGUAAACCACAUUUUAUAAUUAUUUUAACAAUAAGCUACUGCUGUGAAGGUGCAGGGAGAAUGCUAUGUACAAGCCAAGGAAGAUCUGAGGCCCCCAGAAGCUGGGAGAGAGGUGUGGGGCAGCUUCUCCCUUACAGCCCUCAGAAGGAACCCACCCUCCUGAUACCUUGCUCUUGGACUUCUAGCCUCUGGAACCGUGAGAGAAUAUUUUUCUGUUGUUUAACUCAUCUAGUUUGUGGUAUUUUGUUAUGGCAACCCUAGAAAACUAAGGCAGUUGAGAAGCCCAGUGAAAAAGUACUCUUGGAAAACUGGGAGUGGGCAAGAGACAGUGGUGGGGUAAAAUGAGGGCAGAUAGACCUCAAAAUCUUUAAAUAAAAAAGACAAAUUUUCAUUAGUAAAGGAUCUAGUCCGAGACUUUCUUGAAUCUCCAGGCCUUUUUUUCCCCAUCAUUUCUUCCUAAUAUCCCUCCCAACCUCCUCCCUCCCUGCCUUUCUGGGUGGCAUCCACAAUGCAUUCAAUACUACACACUGAGUUCCCCCUGUGUGCCACGUCCCAUGCUGGACAGUGAGGCACGCAGCCCUAAUGGAGCACACAGUCCAGAAGGGGUAACAGUCCUGCAAGCCGGCUCUCAAGCACAGUGUGGGAAGUGCGGCAGCAGAGCGACUCUAUGGGCAGCUUAGGCUGCUCUUAGGAGGGACACCUAAUCUGAUUUUUGUUAGUCACAGAGAGCUUCCUGGAGGAACUGAUUCUGAGGUUUGUUGAGACAUAAAGGAUGAAGGCAAAAUGGGCAGGGAAGAGUGCUCCACAUAGAGGGAACGGCACGUGAAGAAGUCUGGAGGUGAAGUUCGUGGCUGCUUCUGAGAAUGUCAAAGAACGCCUAACGCAAUGGGACAAUCGUGUUUCCAGUGGACGCUGGAAUCCCAGAGGCAGAAUCCUGACAAGAAGUUUGCAUAGGCACAAGACCAAGUUCAUUUCAUUCUCAUCCACUGUAAUGCAUCCCUUCUCGAAUUUCGCUGAUGGUGUAGAUAAGAAGACUCACAGCUGUCACUGGGACCUGCCAA
rnacentral:lncRNA from 1 species